CCAGCUUCCACUUUAAGACUAUCAUUACUGGACCUGAUCAAGGGCAAGCGCUGCAGCCAAGCUUAGAUCACAAAACAGCUCAAGCAUAAGAUGGCUUCUCUUCUGCCAGCAAAGCCAGGCCUGGUUCUCUUCCUCCGGGAGCCCUCUACCCUGCGGCUCACAGAGCCUCCCAAGUUCCUCCAGGCAGGUUCUUUACCCACUGAGCUACGAGGGAGGCCCUCACGGGAGCAAGAGAGCAACGCAGAUGCAGAGAGUGGAUCUGCCCGUUCCCGACCAGCGACUCUGCAGGUGUGAUGUCACCACAAAGAAGCUGGAAAAGGACGAGCAAGAAGGCAUGACCCUGAGGGCCUGACAUGGUUCCAUUGGCUCCAUCUAGCCAUGGCUCCAGUGCAGUGACUGAUGCAACUUUGCCAGUCAGUGGGGUGAGAGCCCCUUUUCAGAGAGAACAUCACAGCAUCACUAGCAUGUUGGAACUUCCCUGACCAGGGAUCAUGACCCCAGCAGUGGAAGCACAGAGUUUCAACCACUGGACCACCAGGGAAGCCCCAAAAUGUUUAAUUUUGACACUAAAGGCAGGAAAGAUCUCCAAACCAUAGAGACAUCAUUCAACACUCCCUUCCUUCCAAGAAGAAAAGAGAAGCAGGUCACAUUGCUGCUGAGAAGUGAAACAUCAAGAACCUGAACCUCAUUAAGGCCGGAGACCAGCUGUGAUCUCAGCUAAAAGACCACAAGUGCGAGUCCCGACCUGAGUUGCACAGUUUCGGCCUCAGGGACUCACUGGGGCUUGUGGAAAUGCAAU
ensembl:lncRNA